AAAAAACGGCCUUUCACAUUGAUGCAUUGCUAUAUAGAGUUUGCAAAGUAUCCAAAGUGGCAGACAAGAGAACUUGAAACUUCUCUUAAGAAACAAAAGAAAACCAUUGAUGAAAGUCCAGGCAGAGCCACCAAUGAUCCGUCAGAUGCAUCCUCGGUAUGCACUGAUGCAACCUCGAUACACACUGAUGCUCUUGAACAUGAGAAAAGACCUGAUGGUGUUAAGAAGGACAAGAGAGGUAAAGCUGAUGAGAAUGCUUGCAAGCUGUCAUUAGAAACUGUGUGGGCAGCAAAGCAAGAGAAGGAUGAGAUCAAAGAAGCGGCAAGAAAUGCUCGCUAUGCACAGCAAUUUGAAUUGCGAAAAGAGGAGAUUGCACUCAGAAAGAAGGAGGAUGCACGAAACGAGAGGGAGGAUGCACGGAGACAGUUUGAAUUAGAUGAGAGGGUCAUGCUGAUCGACACUAGUGGUAUGACUGAUGUGCAAAAGCAGUUCUACCAAGCUAAGCAGAAUGAGAUCCUUGCUCGAGGCCUAGAGUAA
rnacentral:rRNA from 1 species